rnacentral:misc_RNA from 1 species
UGCUUGCUUGUCAUCUUCUAGAGUGGGGUUGGAAUUCUAUCACUCUGCUAGGGAUUCUCUACUUCUUUAUGAAGCUAUCAUACCUGUCAAGUUCGAAAGACAGCUCGAUUCCAUCAACCAUUCUGCCGUUCUUAUUCACAAUGAUUGCCACUAUCUAUCUCAGGAGAUACUUGGACUUGCAUUUGAGUACCGCUCAGACUUUCCAGCUUCAAUGAAGGAACUUGUUGUAUUUGCUGAUUUGGCUCCAAGAUUCCAGAUGCUUG